UGCCACAGUGCGCGUACCGUUCCACAGGUAGUGCUGCAGCCUGCAGGUAAUAUUAAAAAUAUAAUAUUAUUAUCGAGAGAGAAAGAGUAAGAAGGAGAGGUAUAUUGUAUAUUAUGUUAUUCAACCGGGAAGACUACGGAACGAGUCGCGUUCUGUACCCAACUCUGCCUUCGCAGACGUACCAGAGGUACCGGUUCGCCUGCUACGACGGUUGUAUAAGGUAUGCACAGUAGAGGACGUAUGUUACCCGACGUCCAUCGUCGACGUCCGUACGCGGAUUUUUACCCACGGACCACGGUUCGACCGGAAAAAAUCGACGUACGCGCAAACGACAACAACGAGCGAUCUGACCAUGUUUUUUUUUGUUUGUAACCUAACAAAUUUAUUCAUUUGUUUUUAUCCCGAGCACACAUUAUCAUUACUAUAUUAUGUAAAAUUAUUAUUGUAUUAUUUAUCUCUUAAAUUUAUUAAGAUUUAAAAGAUACAUCUUUUCAUCGACAGACCAAAAUGUCGAAUUCAAUAUGUCCGAACUGGGCCACCGCAUAAUUUGUUUUGAGAUAAUAUAAUAUUCCCAUUUUUUA